GUGCCUCAAACUAAUGAGUAAGGAAAACCAAUUCGCCUUGCUAAUCGCUCGGCAGUUUGGCUUCUAAAAGGCAAUGGAAUGCCGUUGGAUGUUGGGAGGGGAGACUCUCCCUUCCCCUCGUCCACGGCAUUUCUUUGAAGCUCAAAUUUUUGCAUGGGCACAGGUCGCCCC